rnacentral:piRNA from 1 species
UUCGUUGGACAAAUUAUAAGG